GGACUUCCUUCAGGAGUACAGAUACUAAAAUUGGAACGAUGCAGAGAAGAUGUCAUGGCUCCUGUGAAAAGAUGACACGCAAAAUCUUGAAGAGUUCCACAUUUUU